rnacentral:rRNA from 1 species
GGUUAUACGAGAGGCCCAAGUUGACUGAGAACGGCGUUAAAGAGUGGUUAACUGUACAAUAAAACAAAAUAGGGUCGAAAUGCCUCAAAACAGUUGAAUGUACUCGAGGCUAUGAAGAACAACUACGAAAGUGUCCCUACCAAAUCAUGAACCCACGAAAGCCACAAUACAAGAGCUGGGAUUA